AGUGAACGCUGGCGGCGUGCCUAAUACAUGCAAGUCGAACGGAGUGGCGCACGGGGGAGUAAUGUAUAGCUAAUCAGCGCUACACUAGAGGAAAACAAUUGGAAAAGGCUGCUAAUACUCUAUAGUGUAGGAUGAGGCUAUAUUGUAUCAGGUAGUUGGUGAGGUAAUGGCUCCCCAAGGCUAUGACGCAUAACUGGUCAGGGAGGAUGAGCCGUCACCCUGGAACUGAGACACCGUCCAGACUCCUACGGGAGGCAGCAGUAGGGAAUAUUGCUCAAUGGGGGAAACCCUGAAGCAGCAACGCCGCGUGGAGGAUGACACUUUUCGGAGCGUAAACUCCUUUUGUUAGGGAAGCGGUACCUAACGAAUAAGCACCGGCUAACUCCGUGCCAGCAGCCGCGGUAAUUC
rnacentral:rRNA from 1 species